rnacentral:misc_RNA from 1 species
AACUGUUCUUGCAAAGCUGCUGUUUUUAGAUAUGGUUGGAAUGGGACUCGAAGAGGAAACUGUUUGUUACUGAAUGAAGUUUUCUCUCUCAGAGACAGCGAUGAAGGAAGAGGCAAUACAGUGUUUCUUAAGGUGCAGAAUACCUCAAAGGCGCAGACUCAGUCUCUAAUCAUUCCUGGAGGAAAGAAAUCAAGACCUUUCAAAGUGAUAAUAGGAUCUACUCUUGCAGCUUUCUUUGGGAUAAUUUUAAGCAUAGCUACUUGCUUUGUUA